rnacentral:rRNA from 1 species
GACGAACGCUGGCGGCGUGCUUAACACAUGCAAGUCGAACGGAAAGGCCCUGCUUUUGUGGGGUGCUCGAGUGGCGAACGGGUGAGUAACACGUGAGUAACCUGCCCUUGACUUUGGGAUAACUUCAGGAAACUGGGGCUAAUACCGGAUAGGAGCUCCUGCUGCAUGGUGGGGGUUGGAAAGUUUCGGCGGUUGGGGAUGGACUCGCGGCUUAUCAGCUUGUUGGUGGGGUAGUGGCUUACCAAGGCUUUGACGGGUAGCCGGCCUGAGAGGGUGACCGGCCGCGUGGGGAAUGAUAUCCGGCCCAGAGGCCGCGGGGGGGAAGAGGGGGGGAUGCGGCCAAAGGGGGGGGAAGCAAAAGCCACAAACGCCCCGGGGGGGAGCACGGCCUCCGGGUGUAAACCCCUUUCCCCUGGUGCCGAACGGAGGUGGAAGGUAGGGAGUAAAGAGACCCCGGCAAUCUCCUGC